rnacentral:rRNA from 1 species
UACGUAGGGUGCGAGCGUUAAUCGGAAUUACUGGGCGUAAAGCGUGCGCAGGCGGUUUUGUAAGCCAGAUGUGAAAGCCCCGGGCUUAACCUGGGAAUGGCAUUUGGGACUGCAAGGCUAGAGUGCGGCAGAGGAGACUGGAAUUCCUGGUGUAGCAGUGAAAUGCGUAGAUAUCAGGAGGAAUACCGAUGGCGAAGGCAGGUCCCUGGGCUGACACUGACGCUCAUGCACGAAAGCGUGGGGAGCAAACAGG